ensembl:snoRNA SNORD27 Small nucleolar RNA SNORD27
ACUCCAUGAUGAACAAACGACAAGCAUAUGGCUGAGUCCUGAAUGAUGUCAUCUUAACUCUGAGAAGU